rnacentral:rRNA from 1 species
AGAGUUUGAUCCUGGCUCAGAUUGAACGCUGGCGGCAUGCUUUACACAUGCAAGUCGAACGGUAACAGGGAGCUUGCUCCGCUGACGAGUGGCGAACGGGUGAGUAAUAUAUCGGAACGUACCCAAGAGUGGGGGAUAACGUAGCGAAAGUUACGCUAAUACCGCAUACGAUCUAAGGAUGAAAGCAGGGGACCGCAAGGCCUUGUGCUCCUGGAGCGGCCGAUAUCUGAUUAGCUAGUUGGUGAGGUAAAGGCUCACCAAGGCAACGAUCAGUAGCUGGUCUGAGAGGACGACCAGCCACACUGGAACUGAGACACGGUCCAGACUCCUACGGGAGGCAGCAGUGGGGAAUUUUGGACAAUGGGGGCAACCCUGAUCCAGCAAUGCCGCGUGAGUGAAGAAGGCCUUCGGGUUGUAAAGCUCUUUUGUCAGGGAAGAAACGGGUGGGGCUAAUAUCCCCAUCUAAUGACGGUACCUGAAGAAUAAGCACCGGCUAACUACGUGCCAGCAGCCGCGGUAAUACGUAGGGUGCAAGCGUUAAUCGGAAUUACUGGGCGUAAAGCGUGCGCAGGCGGUUUUGUAAGUCUGUCGUGAAAUCCCCGGGCUUAACCUGGGAAUGGCGAUGGAGACUGCAAGGCUAGAGUUUGGCAGAGGGGGGUAGAAUUCCACGUGUAGCAGUGAAAUGCGUAGAGAUGUGGAGGAACACCGAUGGCGAAGGCAGCCCCCUGGGUCAAGACUGACGCUCAUGCACGAAAGCGUGGGGAGCAAACAGGAUUAGAUACCCUGGUAGUCCACGCCCUAAACGAUGUCUACUAGUUGUCGGGUCUUAAUUGACUUGGUAACGCAGCUAACGCGUGAAGUAGACCGCCUGGGGAGUACGGUCGCAAGAUUAAAACUCAAAGGAAUUGACGG